CAGCAGGCAGGAGCAUCUGGAAGACUCUGAUCCUUCCCCCCCCCACUCCCCGCCCCGCUGCACUCACUCAUCAACCAGCAAACAUGGAUGCUGUCAAAGCUUCCGGCCAGCCUCCUGCAGACAACCACACCCAAAUGAGAAAGGCCAACACAGGAGCUUCUCUGCUGAGCCACCCUCUCCUGCCCCGUUCCCUUCCACCACACGAGCCCUGUCCACUCUGGGCCUGAGGGUUCCCUUCGAAGAAGCCCUGCAUGGGAGAUCCCCGGGGUCCUCUCUCAAAAGGCCCCCUGCCUCUCCUGCCCAGGAGCAGAAGCCAAGAACUGUGAGCUGAUGGGAGCUCAGGAGAUUGCCUUGUCCUUCCCCCUGGGAGGCCUGGCCGUGUGCCUUGCUUUCACCGACAGAAUGAGGUGCAGGAGGACGAGCCCAGGCUAGCCUACUGGAAGGAGGCAGAUGCUUGCAGAGAAACCAAAGUCUCCCAGCCACCCCGGGCCAACACUGAGCUGGAUCGGUGCACAGCUGACCCCUAGACCUAGGAGCAAACACAGCCAAGCCCGGGAGAGUCAGCCAGCCAGCCCUGUUCAAACCGCCCACUGGCAAAGUCAUCAGCUCAAAUAAAAGCCACUGCGCAUGGGGGCGGCUUGUUACACAGCACUUCUGUGGCGGAAGAGCCUGCCACGGGAAACCUGCAGACCCCUGGGCAAAUCCAAGCCCAGCUGCUUGGAUGCGAAGCCCAUCCCCAGCAUUUGUCAGCGGAGUUGACUUCAGAUUCAUCUGUAAAAUGGGAUGGUGGUGACUCGAACCCAACAGAACUGUCUCACCCACCAUUCAGGAGCCGAACAUUUAUGGCGUUCCUACAGCUCCGUGUGAGGAGCAGGAGACAACGCCCUCACGGAACUGACAUGCAGGUGGGGCAGAUGCUUCAAAACCGAGGAGAUCUCGGACAGAUUGUCAGGUGGAAAGAAUAGCAGGGGAGAACAACCCAGCAGAGUGAAGGGAUGGAGGAUGGGGGGUGAGGGAGAAGAGAGGAUGCUUUUGAUCAGGUGGUCAGAGAAGUCCACUGGGAGGAGGUGACCAGCAGACGCAGGAAGAAGAGGGAGAGGGAGCUCGGCACAGCUGGAGAGGGCACAGCCAGCGCAAAGGCCCGGACGCAGGCAUGCAGUCGGCGUGCAUGAAGAAUGGAGGGAAGGAGGUAGGGAGCAGGGUGGCAGGAGGUGGCGUCCGAGCGGCGGGCAGCGAUGGAAUCACAAGAAACAAGGAGAGCGCCGUGUUAUCGCUGUGACAAUUAAAUGUGCUAAUAUGUGGACAAAGCUCAGGACAGUGCCCGGGUCAUGGUGAGUGGCCGGGAAGUGUCGGCCUUUGCUUUACUGUUGGCACUUUUAUCCACAAAAUGCAGUGUCCCCUUGUUCGGGGGUCCUAAGAGGAAAAUCCUCAUGGGAUGAUUACUGCUUCCUGGAACUAAGGAGAAAGAGGCUCACAGUGGGGGAUCUUGACAAGGGAAACUCACUUUUGAUUCUACCUGAGUUGGUAUUCUUUGAAUUCCUCCAGCAAGACUGAGUCUGUGUACUAUUUAUGAUAUUUAAAAAAAAUAACACCAAACAACCCAGAUGCCCAUCACCAGAUGACUCGAUAAGCCAGGCAUAGUAUCUCUAUACAGCAGAAUAUUAUACAGUCAUGAAAAAGGAACGCAGUACUGAUCCGUGCCAUGCUGUGGAUGAAAACGUGGUGCCAAGUGAAAGAAACCAGACACAAAAGGUCACAUGCUGCUCGAUCCCAUCUUCAUGGAAUGCCCAGAACAGAUGACCCACACACAGAUAGAAAGCAGACUGGUGGUUACCAGGC